rnacentral:rRNA from 1 species
UACGGAGGGUGCAAGCGUUGUCCGGAUUUAUUGGGUUUAAAGGGUGCGUAGGCGGCCUAUUAAGUCAGUGGUGAAAUCCUAUAGCUUAACUAUAGAAUUGCCAUUGAUACUGAUGGGCUUGAGUACAGACGAGGUAGGCGGAAUUGAUAGUGUAGCGGUGAAAUGCAUAGAUACUAUCAAGAACACCGAUUGCGAAGGCAGCUUACUAGGCUGUAACUGACGCUGAGGCACGAAAGCGUGGGGAUCAAACAGG